AUUCCAUGACGAGGGCACUUUCGUAAUAACUUUUUUGUAGCUUUCCCAUGCCUCAUACGGGGACUCAUCAUCCAUUUUUUGGAAGGCAGUGAUCUCAUUCCUCAACUU
rnacentral:snoRNA from 1 species